AGCGAACGCUGGCGGCAGGCCUAACACAUGCAAGUCGAACGAACUCUUCGGAGUUAGUGGCGGACGGGUGAGUAACACGUGGGAACGUGCCUUUAGGUUCGGAAUAACUCAGGGAAACUUGUGCUAAUACCGAAUGUGCCCUUCGGGGGAAAGAUUUAUCGCCUUUAGAGCGGCCCGCGUCUGAUUAGCUAGUUGGUGAGGUAAAGGCUCACCAAGGCGACGAUCAGUAGCUGGUCUGAGAGGAUGAUCAGCCACAUUGGGACUGAGACACGGCCCAAACUCCUACGGGAAGCAGCUGUGGGGAAUCUUGCGCAAUGGGCGAAAGCCUGACGCAGCCAUGCCGCGUGAAUGAUGAAGGUCUUAGGAUUGUAAAAUUCUUUCACCGGGGACGAUAAUGACGGUACCCGGAGAAGAAGCCCCGGCUAACUUCGUG
rnacentral:rRNA from 1 species